GAAUCCAGAGAGGCGCUGCUGACACCGCCGCCACACCGCCGCCACACCGCCGCUGCCUCAGUCAUGCCGGUGAGUGGUUGCGCCGUCCCCGCCACGCAGACUUGCAGUCCCGGGUUGCUUCUCGGCUGCACAGCCGCUUGACCGGAUGCUGAUCUUGAAGGGCUCAGGCGGCGGCCGGAGCCGCUGUUGUCCCCUAGCUUACCCCACCCAGCCCCCAGCUUUUGCGACCCUUCAGAAAAUGGGAUCCGAAGGGAGUUUAAUCUGGGAGCCAGGCUUCAAAACGUCGGAGCUGGAAGGCCUCCAGGGGCGACAAGCCCACACCUUCCCUGCGUACACAGAGAAACAGAACCAGAGAGGGGGCAGGGGAUGGGGGAGUUGGUGGCCAGCGGGAACUGAGACGCCUAGUCCCUGAGCCUUCCUCCUGGCUGCCCUGCCCGCGGAGCUGGCCUGAAGGAGGGCGGUGGGGAGGCUCUGGACAAGGGAGUGGACCCGGUUAUUUCCUCACGGACCGGGCAGGUUUUCAGAGGUUCAUGCUUUUCUUAAUUUCCCUGCCCACUCUGGCCUACUUUUCAGAUCAACUCUGGGCGACACUGAAUGGAGACACUUUCUCAGCCUGAACCCAUGAGCCCCAGAGAGGUUCAGGAACCCCCCCGCACAGUCACCAGUUGCUCAGUGGCUGUGUCUGGGAAGUCAGUCUUAGCCUGCCUUUGCAGAUCACUCAGUCUUAUCACAUAUAUUGUUGCUCGUGGCCUCGUUUUUUAUAUAAAGAAUUGAGGCCUUUGGCAGAUAAAAAUAUAAAAAGCCCAGUAACUUAUUCCAGGUCGUGUUGAAGUUGGCAGAGCCAGGAUUCAGCUCCUUAUCCUUAGGCUCCCCAUCUCUCCAGGCCUGACCACAUGGGAGGUGCCAGGCAAAAGCAGUCACACCGGCUUGGGAAGAUGCUCUGAUCUCAGUUGCAUCUUGGUUAGGGUCAUGUGGUGUUUAGCAUUUUCUUCAGGGUGCCUAAUUCAUGGCUCUGGGCCAGGUGGAUACCCAGAGGUAUCCCACAGUUGCCAUGUGUCUUUGCAUCCUGUCUUUAGGGAGCUGGCAGGUGAGCCUGAGGCCUCCUGGGCAGAGCCACUGACAUCUCAGGUGUCAUUUCCUGUGGGUCUUGCCAGGUGCCUUGAGACAAAUCCUCCAACAACAAAGUAUGGAUAAGGAAUCUGAUAGAAUCAGCCCUACCAGUUGGGCAAGUCAGCCUGUGGCAAUGGUAGAAGACAGUAUUAAUUGCCCUGGGGCUUGGGGAGUGAAGGCCACCAGGAUUUUUUGUGGGGGGUGGCAAUGAGGAAAAGGCUAGCUUGAUCAUCACUGUAUUCUGUAUCUUCUGGGGAUUUUGACAAAAAACCCUCUGGAGCAGAUGAUGGGAAUGAGGAGGGCACUUGGCACCAUGUACCACAAGAUAACAGCUGAAGGAAAGAGGGUGUUAGUCAAGGGAUUUCCUCAAAACUGGAAAGGGAAGAAAAAAAUAUAUCUAUAUACACAUACUGGAAGGGGAAGAGUGUGUUACCUGAGAGUUUUCUCAGACAAAUGCCCGAGAGCACAGGGUUUGGAAUCCCAGAAACCUCUGAAAAUCUGUGCCCCAGCUUGCCAACUGGGUGACCUCAGGCAAGUUGCUUUAUCUCACUGCCUUGAUUUCCUCAUCUGUAAGAUAGGGACAAAAACUUUGACCUCACAGGACUGUUGUUAGUAUUAACUGGAAAAAUGCCAGUAAAAUAUGUCACACAGCCACUGAUAUAUCUAGUCCCCAAGAAAUGGUAGCUCCUGUGUAGACGUAGGACAGGUGGGCUAGAGCUAUAGGCAGGUGAGGCCGGGCAUGGUGGCUCACGCCUGUAAUCCCAGCACUUUGGGAGGCCCAGGCGGGCAGAUCACUUUAAUGCAGGAGCUUGAGACCAACUUUGGCAACAUGAUGAAACCCUGGCUCUACAAAAAAUACAAAAAAUUAGCCAGACGUGGUGGCCCGUGCCUAUAGUCCCAGCUACUUGGGAGGCUGAAGUGGGAGGAUUGCUGGAGCCUGGGAGGUUGAGGCUGCAGUGAGCCGUGAUCGUGCCACUGCAUUCCAGCUUGGGUGACAGAGUGAAAGUGAAACCCUGUCUCAAAAGAAAAAAAAAAAAGGAAGGAAGGAGAGAG
rnacentral:lncRNA from 10 species